CAGCAGCCACGGGAAAACGUAGGUGGCAAGCGUUGUCCGGAUUUAUUGGGCGUAAAGCGAGCGCAGGCGGUUAGAUAAGUCUGAAGUUAAAGGCUGUGGCUUAACCAUAGUACGCUUUGGAAACUGUUUAACUUGAGUGCAAGAGGGGAGAGUGGAAUUCCAUGUGUAGCGGUGAAAUGCGUAGAUAUACGGAGGAACACCGGUGGCGAAAGCGGCUCUCUGGCUUGUAACUGACGCUGAGGCUCGAAAGCGUGGGGCGCAAACAGGAUUAGAUACCCCCGUAGUCCCUGUCUCUUAUACA
rnacentral:rRNA from 1 species